rnacentral:rRNA from 1 species
ACACGUAGGGGGCGAGCGUUGUCCGGAAUGAUUGGGCGUAAAGGGCGCGUAGGCGGCCCGGUAAGUCUGGAGUGAAAGUCCUGUUUUUAAGAUGGGAAUUGCUUUGGAUACUGUCGGGCUUGAGUGCAGGAGAGGUAAGUGGAAUUCCCAGUGUAGCGGUGAAAUGGGUAGAGAUUGGGAGGAACACCAGUGGCGAAGGCGACUUUCUGGACGGUAACUGACGCUGAGGCGCGAAAGUGUGGGGAGCAAUCAGGAUUAGAUACCCUGGUAGUCCACACUGUAAACGAUGAAUGCUAGGUGUAGGGGGUAUCGACCCCUUCUGUGCCGCAGUCAACACAAUAAGCAGUCCGGCUGGGGAGUACGGCAGCAAGGUUGAAACUCAAAGGAAUUGACGGGG